GAUGAACACUGGCGGCGUGCCUAAUACAUGCAAGUCGAGCGAACAGACGAGGAGCUUGCUCCUUUGACGUUAGCGGCGGACGGGUGAGUAACACGUAGGUAACCUACCUAUAAGACUGGGAUAACUUCGGGAAACCGGAGCUAAUACCGGAUAAUAUUUCGAACCGCAUGGUUCGAUAGUGAAAGAUGGCUUUGCUAUCACUUAUAGAUGGACCUGCGCCGUAUUAGCUAGUUGGUAAGGUAACGGCUUACCAAGGCAACGAUACGUAGCCGACCUGAGAGGGUGAUCGGCCACACUGGAACUGAGACACGGUCCAGACUCCUACGGGAGGCAGCAGUAGGGAAUCUUCCGCAAUGGGCGAAAGCCUGACGGAGCAACGCCGCGUGAGUGAUGAAGGUCUUCGGAUCGUAAAACUCUGUUAUUAGGGAAGAACAAACGUGUAAGUAACUGUGCACGUCUUGACGGUACCUAAUCAGAAAGCCACGGCUAACUACGUG
rnacentral:rRNA from 1 species